UUCAAAUUCGUGCAAAACGGUGCAUAAAAUAUUGGGACUAUUGCGAAGUUCCCGAUUUGCCAUAAUCUACCCCUUUCCGGACAUCAUGCGAUAUCCGGCAAUCCAUUCAUCGGAUUUCCGAACGGAUUGCACCAUCGCGUUCAGCACGACGAAGGUAUCGAAACCACCAUUUCGUUUCAUCCGAUUUCGUCGCCGAUUUGCGACCGAACCAUCCUCUGUCUAAUUAUUCCACACCAAACACAUGUACAAUUAUGUAAUCCCACUAAACCUUAAAUUCGCACUU
rnacentral:lncRNA from 1 species